rnacentral:rRNA from 1 species
CCUACGGGUGGCUGCAGUGGGGAAUAUUGCGCAAUGGGCGAAAGCCUGACGCAGCGACGCCGCGUGAGGGAUGAAGGUCUUCGGAUCGUAAACCUCUGUCAGCAGGGAAGAACGGUCACUGUGCUAAUCAGCAGUGACUUGACGGUACCUGCAAAGGAAGCACAGGCUAACUCCGUGCCAGCAGCCGCGGUAAUACGGAGGGUGCGAGCGUUAAUCGGAAUUACGGGGCGUAAAGCGCUCGUAGGCGGUAUGUCAAGUCAAGGGUGAAAUCCCCGCGCGCAACGUGGGAACUGCCUUUGAAACUGGCAAGCUGGAGUGUGUGAGAGGAUAGUGGAAUUCCAGGGGGAGGAGUGAAAUCCGUAGAUAUCUGGAGGAACAUCAGUGGCGAAGGCGACUAUCUGGCACAUAACUGACGCUGAGGAGCGAAAGCGUGGGUAGCAAACAGGAUUAGAUACCCCAGUAGUC